rnacentral:rRNA from 1 species
GACGAACGCUGGCGGCGUGCUUAACACAUGCAAGUCGAACGGAAAGGCCCCUUUGGGGGUACUCGAGUGGCGCACGGGUGCGUAACACGUGAGUAACCUGCCCUUGACUUCGGGAUAACUUCAGGAAACUGGGGCUAAUACCGGAUAGGAAUCCUUGCUGCAUGGUGGGGGUUGGAAAGCUUCGGCGGUUUUGGAUGGACUCGCGGCUUAUCAGCUUGUUGGUGGGGUAGUGGCUUACCAAGGCUUUGACGGGUAGCCGGCCUGAGAGGGCGACCGGCCACAUUGGGACUGAGAUACGGCCCAGACUCCUACGGGAGGCAGCAGUGGGGAAUAUUGCACAAUGGGCGGAAGCCUGAUGCAGCAACGCCGCGUGCGGGAUGACGGCCUUCGGGUUGUAAACCGCUUUCAGCAGGGGCGAAGCUUGUGGUGACGGUACCUGCAGAAGAAGCACCGGCUAACUACGUG